GUCCACGCCGUAAACGAUGAAUACUAGGUGUGGGGUUGUCAUGACCUCCGUGCCGCCGCUAACGCAUUAAGUAUUCCGCCUGGGGAGUACGGUCGCAAGAUUAAAACUCAAAGUAAUUGACGGGGGCCCGCACAAGCAGCGGAGCAUGUGGUUUAAUUCGAAGCAACGCGAAGAACCUUACCUAGACUUGACAUCUCCUGAAUUACUCGUAAUAGAGGAAGUCACUUCGGUGACAGGAAGACAGGUGGUGCAUGGUUGUCGU
rnacentral:rRNA from 1 species